UCUUAGGACAAAAAAAACCCAUCUCAGGCUGAGAAGUAAGUUAAGAAACAUGCUUAGCCAUAUACCUGUGUUUUUGGGGUUUUUUCUGAUCUUCGGGCAUGCAUCCUUUGCUGAUGUCUUCCCGCUAGAAGG